GAGCCUGUGGUGUAACGGUAUCACGUCGCGGACACGACGCGGAAUUCCUGGUUCGAAUCCGGGUGGGCUCG